GGAUUGUGGCUCAGUGUAGAGUGCUUGCCUAGCACACAUGAGGCACUGGGUUCGAUCCUCAGCACCA
rnacentral:tRNA from 1 species